GGUUCAAGCGAUUCUCCUGCCUCAGCCUCCCAAGUAGCUGGGACUACAGGUGUGUGCCACCACACCCGGCUAAUUUUUGUAUUUUUAGUAGAGAUGGGGCUUUGUCAUGUUGGACAGGCUGGUCUUGAACUCCUGACCUCUUAAUCUGCCUGCCUCGGCCUCCCAAAGUGUUGGGAUUACAGGCUUGAGCCACCACACCCAGCCUUCUUUUCUCUCUUUUAUUCUUUUUUUCUCUGUCCACUGACUGGAUAAUUUCGGAAGAUCUAGAACUUGUCUCUAUAUUAAAAAAAAAAAAAAAGUCUUUGGGAGGCCAAAGCGGGAGG
rnacentral:lncRNA from 10 species